rnacentral:rRNA from 1 species
GAUGAACGCUGGCGGCAUGCUUAACACAUGCCAGUCGAACGGGAAGUGGUGUUUCCAGUGGCGAACGGGUGAGUAACGCGUAAGAACCUGCCCUUGGGAGGGGAACAACAACUGGAAACGGUUGCUAAUACCCCGUAGGCUGAGGAGCAAAAGGAGAAAUCCGCCCAAGGAGGGGCUCGCGUCUGAUAGCUAGUUGGUGAGGUAAUAGCUUACCAAGGCGAUGAUCAGUAGCUGGUCCGAGAGGAUGAUCAGCCACACUGGGACUGAGACACGGCCCAGACUCCUACGGGAGGCAGCAGUGGGGAAUUUUCCGCAAUGGGCGAAAGCCUGACGGAGCAAUGCCGCGUGGAGGUGGAAGGCCUACGGGUCGUCAACUUCUUUUCUCGGAGAAGAAACAAUGACGGUAUCUGAGGAAUAAGCAUCGGCUAACUCUGUG